CUGGCGCCCGCAACAUGGGAGGUGCAGGUGGCUUGCUCUGAGGAUGUGGACUUGCCCUGCACCGUCCCCUCGGAACCGCAGGUGCCCUACAUGGUCUCCUAGGUCAAGCUAUUGGAGGGCGGUGAAGAGAGGGUGCAGGCACCCCAGGAAGAUCUGCGCCUCAGAGGACAGCGCUAUCAUCAGAAGGGCCAAAAUGGCUCUUCUGGGGUCCCAGUGAAAGAUCCUAUUCCCUGAAGAUCCGAAACACUACCAGCUGCAACCCGUGGACAUACAAGUGCACUCUGCAGGCACCGGAAGGGCAGAGAAACCUAAGUGGCAAGGUGAUCCUGAGAGUGACAGGAUGUCCUAAACACCGUAGAGAAUUUUAAGAAAUACAAAGCUGGAGAUUUUGCUGUUGUUGUCUCUGGUUGUUUUCUACUUAACACUCAUCAUUUUCACUUGUAAGUUUGCAUGACUACGGAGUAUUUACUCAGAUUUUUCUAAACCCGGCAUGGAAUGAGCUUUUCUCCCAGUUACCUCCCCGAAUAAACAUUUGGGGCCAGUAACUCUUUGCAAGACAGAACUUGUAUAAG
rnacentral:lncRNA from 1 species